UUUUAUUAGUACAAUAAUAAUAUAACAUUACAAAGAUGUCAAUAACUUCCAAGUUCUUGCUAGUUAUGUCCCUAGGACUAAUAGUUUUUACCACAUUUUCACUUGCUGAUCAACACUACCAAUCUACCAAACAUGAGCUUGGACGUUCUGAUACUAAUCAGCUAAACAUGAAUGGUUACUUAGCCAUGGAACCAGCACCACCAGACCUUGAGCAAGAAGGGCAUAUGUGGCGCUUGAACGACGACUCGAUCGCCAUGGAACCAGCACCACCAGACCUUGAGCAAGAAGUGCAUAUGUGGCGCUUGAACGACGACUCGAUCGCCAUGGAACCAGCACCAAGGUUUGAGCUAGAAGGGCAGAAGCAACAUGAGCAUGAGUCACACUUGAGGCUAGUAACUUAGAAAACAUGAUUAGCACCAGAAUAGAAUUAACUUGGAAGAUGGUGGAUUAUUGUACUAUAGUCCCUUAUUCUAAGUUGUGGAUCAAUAAUAAAGCUCCAUUGUCCUAAAUUUCCAUCUGAGUUAAAUUAUCACCUUAUAAUUAAGUCAUGUAACAGACUAAAAUAGUUUCUGAUCCUAAUAAAUCAUAUUUCUGCUAUUCAAAUAAAAGAAAAUUUAGUCAGAAGUCUGACGGAAACCUGCCUUAAAACAUUGCCAUAUUUUCUCUGUUGCAUUAAAAAUAAUUCAAGAUUUUAAGGUAUAUGUGCCAAACAAAUUAUCUACUGAAUUUGCUUC
rnacentral:lncRNA from 1 species